rnacentral:tRNA from 1 species
CAGGGUCUAGCUCAGCGGUAGAGCACAUGCUUGGCAUGCAUGAGGUCCUGGGUUCAAUCUCCAGUACCUUUG